UACAGAGGUCUCGAGCGUUGUUCGGAUUCAUUGGGCGUAAAGGGCGCGUAGGCGGCGGGGUAAGUCUGGUGUGAAAUCUCGGAGCUCAACUCCGAAAUUGCACUGGAUACUGCUCUGCUAGAGGGCUGGAGAGGAGAUCGGAAUUCACGGUGUAGCAGUGAAAUGCGUAGAUAUCGUGAGGAAGACCAGUGGCGAAGGCGGGUCUCUGGACAGUUCCUGACGCUGAGGCACGAAGGUCAGGGGGAGCAAACGGG
rnacentral:rRNA from 1 species